rnacentral:rRNA from 1 species
UACGUAGGGGGCAAGCGUUGUCCGGAUUUAUUGGGCGUAAAGAGCGUGUAGGCGGUUUGGUAGGUCCGUUGUGAAAACUCGAGGCUCAACCUCGAGACGUCGGUUGAAACCGUAUGGCUAGAGUCCGGAAGAGGAGAGUGGAAUUCCCGGUGUAGCGGUGAAAUGCGCAGAUAUCGGGAAGAACACCCAUGGCGAAGGCAGCUCUCUGGGACGGUACUGACGCUGAGACGCGAAAGCGUGGGGAGCGAACAGG